rnacentral:lncRNA from 1 species
UCAAUUCUUGAAAUUAUUGAAUUAAGUCCUCUUGAUGAUCCCUUAGAAUUAAUAAAGCCUUUAUUAUUAUUUUUUUGUUAAUCAAGGUUGUACAUUGACUUGAUCAGACUUUGACCUUUAACUUACAAACAUGCUUAUUAAAUGCUUUAACUCAAUUAUCUGCUGUUACUACUGAUUUGUGCUGCCAAGCAUGGAUUUCUUGCCAACAACCUAGAAACUUGAUCUGUUAUAAUCACAUUUUUAUUUCAAGUAGAUGAGAAAAAUCUCUUUAUUCAAGCUUUCUGAACAAUAUCAUUAUAUGUCAACUGGGUUUGUUGUACACUAUAUGUUUGAGAAGUACUGAAUCUUAAAGAGCAUGCUGUUUAAGCUGAUUGAGCAAUUCUGGAAUGAAAAUCCUCCAGACUGACCUAUGUUUGGAUACAUAAUUGAUCAGUUAUCUUCUAUUCAAAACUAGAUUGCUAAUAAGAGGCGUUGGAAGGUAUGCUGUGAGAUGUUUGUGACGCACAAGUGUAUCUGAGAAUGGGUUCCCACGGAGGACAUACAUGUGAAUUUUGAUCAAGAUAUUUGUCUUUGAUGCAUUAAGAUGAUAUCCAUAAUGUUGUAUUAUUUUUCAUCUCUGAGCACAUUGUUUUCUAAAGGAAUGCUUAUUUUUUAAUCCUUCAAUUGUUUCUGAGCAAGCUAACCAUGUAAGAUGUCAGCUUUAGUAUGUUUUCAUUUCUCAGCCAAAAUUUUAAUUUUGUUUUGACUAUUAUGGGAAAGACAUGGAGGGAAGAUAAUAAAAUGCAUUUCUUUUCAAACUUCACAUGUACAACUUUUUUUGGGUGGUUAGGUAUUUGGGGAGGGAAUGGGUGGUUGAAUUGUAUCUUAUUUGGUG